CUCUGCCCUCGACAAUUAGUUUAUCCCCGCUUCAUUAUUCCCGAUAUGACUGGCAGUGGCAGUGGAUACCUGCCGCCCUCCGACAUGCCCGCCGCCAGUCAAACCUCGAUGCACCAACUCGAGGACAUAACAGCGACGCCAACUGGCCAGUUUGGGGAACUGGAUGUCACUUCAGUUUACAAGGGGUCUGACCAGCAGGCCUUUGGACCAGCAGAUCAACCACCCCUCACUGGGGGAAGACGCCAGCAGUGGGGACU
ensembl:lncRNA